UGCCGUCCCGUGACGGCAGUGCGGUUGCCGCCACUCGAAAUGCAUUUCAUUAUGUAUUGACGGGACAGCCAAUAUGAAUUGACCUUUAUUGUUGCAGUGUUUAUUUCUGCCGUUUAUUUUAAAAAAAUCAUCGUAUUCUUCAGUGUAGCUCACUGAGCGCAUGACGCACUACUGUCGCAGUGUAUAAAAAAAAUAAGGCUGGUGGUUCAUCAGGAUUAUUGAUGGAUUUGGCAGCAAAUGAAAAAGCUGUGCAUGCAGAUUUCUUUAAUGAUUUUGAGGAUCU